AAGGCUGCCUGCUAUCAUUUUGAUUGAGUGCGAGGGGCCGAGAAGGAUGACCUCAGACUUACUCUCGUUUAGUUGGAGGAAGUUCUGGGCCAUCCAACACUUUAUACCCUCGAGGCAGCGGAUAAUGUUAAGCAGAUUUGAUAGUUUUUGGGGCUUCAGGGGGAGGUAGAGUUGUGUAUCGUCUGCGUAGCAAUGGAUGGCAGGAAAUGCUGUGCCUUUGAAUGAUUUGGCCAAAGGGGAGCAGGU